rnacentral:rRNA from 1 species
CAGUCGCCGCGGUAAUGCAGAGGGUGCGAGCGUUAAUCGGAAUUACUGGGCGUAAAGGGCGCGUAGGCGGUUAGGAAGGUGUGAUGUGAAAGCCCUGGGCUUAACCUAGGAAGUGCAUCGCAAACCAACUAGCUGGAGUAUAAGAGAGGGUGGCGGAAUUUCCGGUGUAGCGGUGAAAUGCGUAGAGAUCGGAAGGAACGUCAAUGGCGAAGGCAGCCACCUGGCUUAAUACUGACGCUGAGGCGCGAAAGCGUGGGGAGCGAACAGGAUUAGAGACCCGUGUAGUCCCUGUCUCUUAUAC